UAGUAACUGCGAGUGAAGAGGGAAGAGCUCAAAUUUAAAAUCUGGCUGCUCUUGCGGCGGUCCGAGUUGUAGUUUAGAGAAGUGCUAUCCGCGCUGGCCUGUGCAAAAGUUUCUUGGAAAAGAACAUCAUAGAGGGUGACAAUCCCGUCUUUGGCACGGACUACCAGGGCUUUUGUGAUGCGCUCUCGACGAGUCGUGUUGUUUGGGAAUGCAGCACUAAAUGGGUGGUAAAUUCCAUCUAAAGCUAAAUAUUGGCGAGAGACCGAUAGCGAACAAGUACCCGUGAGGGAAAGAUGAAAAGAACUUUGAAAAGAGAGUUAAACAGUACGUGAAAUUGUUGAAAGGGAAACGCUUGAAGUCAGUCGCGUCUUCCAGGGAUCAAGUUGCCUCCGGGUGACCGCACUUUCUGGUUGAUGGGUCAGCAUCAAUUUUGACCGUCGGACAAAGGCCUGGGGAAUGUGGCAUCUUCGGAUGUGUUAUAGACCCGGGUCGGAUACGAUGGUUGGGAUUGAGGAACUCAGUGUGCCUUCAUGGUUGGGGCUUCUGCUCACACCGCACGCUUAGGAUGCUGGCAUAAUGGCUUUAAUCGACCCGUCUUGAAACACGGACCAAGGAGUCUAACAUGCCUGCGAGUGUUUGGGUGGAAAACCCAUGCGCGUAAUGAAAGUGAAAGUUGAGAUCUCUGUCAUGGAGAGCAUCGACGCCCGGACCAGACCUUUUGUGACGGAUACUGCGGUAGAGCGAUGUAUGUUGGGACCCGAAAGAUGGUGAACUAUGCCUGAAUAGGGUGAAGCCAAGAGGAAACUCUGGUGGAAGCUCGUAGCGAUUUCUGACGUGCAAAUCGAUCGUCGAAUUUGGGUAUA
rnacentral:rRNA from 1 species